CAGUAGCCGCGGGAACACGUAGGGUGCAAGCGUUAAUCGGAAUUACUGGGCGUAAAGCGUGCGCAGGCGGUUUUGUAAGACAGAGGUGAAAUCCCCGGGCUCAACCUGGGAACUGCCUUUGUGACUGCAAGGCUAGAGUACGGCAGAGGGGGAUGGAAUUCCGCGUGUAGCAGUGAAAUGCGUAGAUAUGCGGAGGAACACCGAUGGCGAAGGCAAUCCCCUGGGCCUGUACUGACGCUCAUGCACGAAAGCGUGGGGAGCAAACAGGAUUAGAUACCCCCGUAGUCCCUGUCUCUUAUAC
rnacentral:rRNA from 1 species